CUCUAAUUAUGAAUUGGAAUAUAACGUUACAUUAGUCCUAAUAUGAAAUGGAAGUUAGCAUUUUUCUCAGUAGUUGUAUCUAGCAAAAUCAAUGCCGCUUAGUUAUUUGCUAUUACAACAAAAGCACAAUACAUAACAGGAUUAGCUGGUAUUAGGAAUUUCUGCAUUCCUUAAUUAUUGCUUACAAAUUAUGUUGGGAUUUGGAUUAUCGCAUUACUUCACCCAUCAUUAUAAUGG